rnacentral:rRNA from 1 species
UACGGAGGGGGCGAGCGUUAUCCGGAAUUAUUGGGCGUAAAGGGCGCGUAGGCGGCUUGAUAAGUCAGGGGUGAAAUCCCUCGGCUCAACUGAGGAACUGCCUUUGAAACUGUCAGACUUGAGGCCGGGAGGGGGUAGCGGAAUUCCCAGUGUAGCGGUGAAAUGCGUAGAUACUGGGAGGAACACCGGUGGCGAAGGCGGCUGCCUGGACCGGCAUUGACGCUGAGGAGCGAAAGCCAGGGGAGCAAACCGG